rnacentral:rRNA from 1 species
GACGGAGGAUGCAAGUGUUAUCCGGAAUCACUGGGCGUAAAGCGUCUGUAGGUGGUCAAAUAAGUCAACUGUUAAAUCUUGAGGCUCAACCUCAAAAUCGCAGUCGAAACUAUUAGACUAGAGUAUAGUAGGGGUAAAGGGAAUUUCCAGUGGAGCGGUGAAAUGCGUAGAUAUUGGAAAGACCACCGAUGGCGAAGGCACUCUACUGGGCCAUUACUGACACUGAGAGACGAAAGCUAGGGGAGCAAAUGGG